UGGGGAAUAUUGGACAAUGGGCGCAAGCCUGAUCCAGCAAUGCCGCGUGUGUGAAGAAGGCCUGCGGGUUGUAAAGCACUUUCAGUUGGGAGGAAGGCCUUUGCGAUAAUAUCGCAGAGGAUCGACGUUACCAACAGAAGAAGCACCGGCUAACUCUGUGCCAGCAGCCGCGGUAAUACAGAGGGUGCGAGCGUUAAUCGGAAUUACUGGGCGUAAAGGGCGCGUAGGUGGUUAUUUAAGUCAGAGGUGAAAUCCCCGGGCUUAACCUGGGAAUUGCCUAUGAAACUGAAUAGCUAGAGUACGGGAGAGGGAAGUGGAAUUUCCGGUGUAGCGGUGAAAUGCGAAGAUAUCGGAAGGAACACCAGUGGCGAAGGCGACUUCCUGGCCCGUUACUGACACUGAGGCGCGAAAGCGUGGGGAGCGAACAGG
rnacentral:rRNA from 1 species